rnacentral:rRNA from 1 species
GUGCCAGCAGCCGCGGUAAUACGGAGGGUGCGAGCGUUGUCCGGAAUCACUGGGCGUAAAGGGCGCGUAGGCGGUUUGUUAAGCGUGCGGUGAAAGCCCGGGGCUCAACCCCGGGUCUGCCGUGCGAACUGGCGGACUAGAGCACUGUAGAGGCAGGUGGAAUUCCGGGUGUAGCGGUGGAAUGCGUAGAGAUCCGGAAGAACACCGGUGGCGAAGGCGGCCUGCUGGGCAGUUGCUGACGCUGAUGCGCGACAGCGUGGGGAGCAAACAGGAUUAGAUACCCCGGUAGUCC